GUUGGAGACAACCGGCCCGGGAAAGGAAGAGGAAGAAGGACGAGUCUCUCAAAACUAACAAACUCCAGCACGAUUGGACAGAGGGGCCCCACCUCCUAAGUAACGUCUCCAUCCAUUGGAGGAGGAAGGAGGGUAUCUGAAUUCUCAUUUUUGAUUGCCAGCAGUCCUGAUAGUGAAUCUGACAAGAUCACAGUGAAGAGUCUAUGCAUGAUUCAUGAGGAGAGAGUCUGACUUCGCUGGUGUGUAUUGGCAGUACAGGAGGAGUUGAGG